CUUCUACUCCCUCUGUCCGGAAAUACUUGUCAGAGGAAUGGAUGUAUCUAGACGUAUUUUAAUUCUAGAUACAUUCAUUUUUAUGCAUUUCUUCGACAAGUAUUUUCGGACGGAGGGAGUACUAU
rnacentral:pre_miRNA from 1 species